GACGAAGGAUGCAAGCGUUAUCCGGAUUCAUUGGGUUUAAAGGGAGCGUAGGCGGGCUUAUAAGUCAGUGGUGAAAUCUCCUUGCUUAACAAGGAAACUGCCAUUGAUACUGUAGGUCUAGAGUACAUUUGCUGUGGGCGGAAUAUGACAUGUAGUGGUGAAAUACUUAGAUAUGUCAUAGAACACCGAUUGCGAAGGCAGCUCACAAAAAUGUAACUGACGCUGAGGAGCGAAAGCGUGGGGAGCGAACAGG
rnacentral:rRNA from 1 species